ACCUGUCACUUAAAAAAACGUCACAUUACUUACUUGUGCAUCUUCAACCCGUUGAUUCUGCUCCACUUUUAUGAUCUUCUUGGUUUUGGUUUUGGUCUUGGGGUUUGGAAGGUUUUUUGGAGGAUUGAAAUAUUUUGACUUGCGCUUUGAACUGCCAGAAGAGGUGUCCCUCUUACACCAUUGCUCUUCUGGGUCAUCUUCCAGCUUAACAGAGCUUUGAAGGUUUCUCUCAAGUACAUCAAUUGGCAGGCUUUGUUGAAUCACAUGUUCAACAUACCUCCCCUGCACUGAGGCAAACAUUUUAGAGACAAACUCUGCAGGUCUAAGGUAUUUUCUUUUACACAGAAUGCUGUGUUUCACCAACCUAAACCAUAGUUCGACAUGGCAGUUGGUUUCCCGUGUUUUGCAGCAUGUUCCUCUUUUGAUAGAUCCUUUAGAGUGCCUUGAUAGAUCAGCGGGUAAUACACCACUCCACAAGGGAAAGAUGCCCACCCAUAGCAAGCGAAAAUCCUAAAUGAGACCUCCAUUAUGUAUCAUUUAUAUCUCUAGAUAAAAAUGAGCACCAAUCGAGACCAAAGUGCAUUUUCUCAUACUUCUCGAUUUGAACUCCUGAGAUAUGGACACUGUUUAGUCUCACAGUGAUCAAUGUUUGAGUUCUCAAAAUGAUCUUAGUGGCAUCUCUAUUAUAGAGUCUCAGCUCUGUCUUUCAGUGAUCACUGUUUGAGUUCUUAAGAUGAUCUGACUCGCAUCUCUUUUAUAGAGUCUCAGUUCUGUCUUUCAGUGAUCACUGUUUGAGUUCUUAAGGUCAUCUCAUUGGCAUCUCUUCUAUAUUGUCUCCACUGACAGAAAAAGAUCAUUAAAAGCUCUCAAAAGUGUCUCAAUAUGAGAAACAAAUUGCAGUUAAGUCUCAGUGAGAGAUACCUGAUCAGUCUCACUGUGCUCUCAAAUGAGUCUUAAUGUGAUAUAAUUGGAUGAUAAUAUAACAUUAAGAAUGCUAGAUGCAGGCAAUUUAAAGAACCAGACAUGGACAAUAGUACGAUAUGGUGUACAACACGAGAUGUAAAAACCAAUUUAAAUGAAGUGACAAUUAGAAAUAUGUUAUCUUGUACUGUACAUUUCUUUUAUUAUUUUUUGUUUCAUACCUUUCCCAUAAUGUCUUGAUGUGACACUCGGUGUAAACAGAAGCAUAUCUAAAACUUACAAUGCCAGGCAUAGAGGUCAAUUCAAUGAAAAUAACAUUUCCCAUUACAUGCUCAAGAGAAACUGCUACUGUAUUUACAGAGGUUUCAAACAGAGGCACAACAUUAAAGCAGGUACCAUUUGUGACACUAUCUAUAAGUAAAGUAAUUCAUUACACAUUCAAAUUCAUUAAUAAGAGCCCAUUUGACACCAGACUGUUCAGACGUAAGGAAGAACUCAACCUGUCCAUAUUUUAGCUCUGCUCCACAAACAACUGUACAAUUGUUUCUUCUAUUGUGGCCUUUCCCAUAAUGUCUUUUAACUUGUGCCCUAUCAUAUCUUCUCACUGUUUUAGGAUCAAUACAGUGACCAGCAUGUCUUUCCAAGGUAGUCAUGUGAAUUUCCUGUAACUGAACUUCACUUGACGCUCCAAAAAGUUAUAUUCUUUAUAUCAUUGUUUUCCUGACCAAAACUAUGGUCCUUAGUCAUCAGAGUGUAAAAUGUAGCUAUGUCAUUAACUGGCUUUAUGGUUUGUGAAAUAACAGGUAUAGACUGAACUAGUUUGACUGCAGAGACCAUCUGAAUUGGUAUAUUCUGAGUACCAUGUAUGAGCCUCAACAAAUAGCCGUUUUAGGUAUGUAGCAAAAGUUUCAUAUAAUUUGUUCAUUACGUGACAUUCACAGUGUAAACAGAAGCAUAUCUAAAACUUCUCAAUUGUGUUUGGAAAAUGAGCUGCAAACACAAUGCCAGGCAUAGAGGUCAAGUCAAUGAAAAUAACCUUUCCCAUUACAUGCUCAAGGGAAACUGCUACUGUAUUUACAGAGGUUUCAAACAGAGGCACAACAUGAAAGCAGGUACCAUUUGUGACACUAUCUCUAAGCAAAGUAAAAUCUGCACAUUCAAAUUCAUUAAUAAGAGCCCAUUUGACACCAGACUGUUCAGACGUAAGGAAGAACUCAACCUGUCCAUAUUUUAGCUCUGCUCCACUUGAAAAAACAACUGUACAAUUGUUUCUUCUAUUGUGGCCUUUCCCAUAAUGUCUUGAUGUGAGAUAAUGUCUCUUAACUUGUGCCCUAUAAUAUCUUCUCACUGUUUUAGGAUCAAUACAGUGACCAGCAUGUCUUUCCAAGGUAGUCAUGUGAAUUUCCUGUAACUGAACUUCACUUGAUGCUCCAAAAAGUUUUAUUCUUUUAUCAUUGUUUUCCUGACCAAAACUAUUGUCCUUAGUCAUCAGAGUGUAAAAUGUAGCUAUGUCAUUAGCUGGCUUUAUGGUUUGUGAAAUAACAGGUAUAGACUGAACUAGUUUGACUGCAGAGACCAUCUGAAUUGGUAUAUUCUGAGUACCAUGUAUGAGCCUCAACAAAUAGCCGUUUUUGUCUUCGAAAUGGAAACAUGAGUGAGUCCAUAAUGGACCAAGGGCCCUGACACUGUCGGCCAAGUGAACUAGGAGGUGCACAUUUGCAGUGAGGUACCGCUCACCAUAAAGAUCACACAUUUGAGAACAGAAGUUCCACAACAGUUUCUCAGCAUGAUCAACCAUUUCCACAGAUAUGGAUUCCAUCAACAGAAUGAAAAUGGCUUCACUUAGGAGGAGGAAGUGAUUGUAGUACGCUGUUGCAAGGAUACCACGGAAAACAACAGGUCCAUAAAAGAGCAAAAUAUCACGAUAUUCUGAUGCUUUAAAAAACAUUCUGUGUGAUAACACUGAUCGCGGAUACCUCGUUAAAGAUGGAGGGGAGAGAUCUUUUAAUCUCUGGUCUAUUUCCUUACUAUGUUUUGAGAUGCUGAAAGGCUUACAAGAAAACUCUGGAGAAAACCAGAGAGCCAUCAAAAGGCGCAUCACUCCCAGAAGAGCUGAGUGCAUGUAAUCAAUGCCAGUGCCUUGAAUUAACUUAUAACUUUUUAGUUUUCUAAGCACACAGGGACCCUUCACCCCUUUUACAGUAGUUUUGGUGUCAUCUGCAAUUUUAGCAUCAAGGUCAAACCCUUCAUCUGUGCGUGGUGGCCCUUUUGGAUCUUCAGUUAUGAAUGGAAAUGCAUGAACAUGUCCCCUUUCCCCAGUCUUCACAGUUUCCCCAGGCUGUUCACAUUUAUGACAUCCAUAUUUCCCAUUGUAUUGCACUGAAUUAAGUACUAACGCCUUGGCAGGCAAGUCACAUGUUCCUGCAAUAGUUAGCACUUUAGACACAAAGGGUUCAGAUGCCUCUGCAGGUUGCACAAGGAUUCCAUCAUCUUCAAGUUUUCUCAGUGUGUCGCUUAGUGGUUUAAGAAAAGUAUGCAUGGAUGGUUUUGAAUCACCAUACCAAAGCCCAGCAAAUAUCAUAUUUUGUCUUUUUGUGCGUUCAAUGAAGCUCAGUUCGUUAAUGACACAAUAAAAAGGCCACACUGAAAACUUAGAUGAUCUGAAAACAGGUACCCCAUCUGUGUUCCAAGUAAGGGAUAUGUUAUUAGGGUUACUAAGAGGACCACCCUGAUCUACAAGCUAUUUGUAAAUGUCUGCAUCAUAUAUGUCUUCAAUGUUGUUUGGAUCUUUUUUAUUCCGGCUGAAUCUAAAGUUAAGCUUCUCCUGAAAACCAGGUGUAAGAAAAAAUGACCUUAUUUGAGCAUCAAUUGGAACCUCAAUGAAAUAUGAGGAGGAUCCUUCUUCUGACACACUAGUCGCACAAGACUGACAUUGCAACUGUUCACCCUCUAUGGACACAAAACAUUUACUGCAAUAUUUAUGUAAAAUAGGGGAUGAAGCAGACUGAGAAAAAAAAUAGUCUUUGAACUUCUGUACACUGUUCAAGCGAUCUGUAUUCAGACAAUGGGGACAAAGCAAUUUGCACAAUUUGAGCAAGUCGCUAAGGGCCGUAUCAGUUACUUUAUGGCAGUUCACAUAAGCCAUGAUAAUCAAAAGGCACUCUGGAACAGUUAUCGAUGCAUUGUCAUACAAAGGCAAGUCUGUUUUGUCCUCGCAAGUUGACUGUGCACUCCCCUCAUCUAAACCGUCUUCAAAUCCUUCACAGAAGGUAAGUCCUCCAUCAUCAAAAAUCCAAUCGGCGUUAUCAGGGAGCACUUCUGGUUCAUUAUCAUUGCCCUGCAGUUCAGUUAGGACAUCAGAAGGAAUUCCAGAGACUGAUGUGAAGUUGGAGGCUGGCGGGCCUCCGCUGGGACAGUGGGAGGAUGGUCCUUCUCCGUUCGGGGCCCUAUGUGGGGAUGGUUCAUUUCCGGCCCCUUGUGUCGAAUGUCCAUCGUCUGUAAGAACCACACGAGGAAAAGAAACAGCUAAAGCAAAAGCUUUACCCACUCCCAUCUGCAUAAGCCAUUUUAAGAUUGUAUUGACAAUAGCAAAAUUUUAUAAAAUUGACAUAUGGACAGUCAUCAUGUGAGACACAAUAAUUGGAAACUGAUAAACAGGAAUAUAGUAUCUUAAACUUCAAUGAUUGCAAACUGGGGGACAUGAAUGUCUGCAGAGGGAUGUGGUUGUGUGUGUGCACUCUCCCCACCUGUUUGGCUGAGUGUAGCAGAUAGGAGGCAGUCUGGUCUAUUCAAUGAAAAGUUUUACACAUGGCUGAGGAGAUAAUCUAAACUCACGUUUCAUACCUUAAACAUGCUCUGUCCUCUCCCUACCUGUGACAGGGUCUGUGUGUGGACUAAAUAUUACAGGUUCAGUGAUUCUCAGAAUUAAAUCAAAAUUAAUUAAGGGCCGAUGUCUCUCCUUUGCACUUGGAAACCCAGAACCUCAGUCACACCCACACAACUUACUUAAAGAUGGCUCAUUAGUUCCCAAUUGGACAAUGGCAGCUGCAGGGCGGGAUGGCUGUAAGGGGGAAAAUAAUGUAUUAAAAUAAUAUCUGCUGCAGCUUUGCCCAAAUAUGCCAGGCCAUGCCACUCACCAAUUGUGCAGUCCGUCUUGGUCGUUUAUUUUUUUCUUCAUGACAAUUCCUCCUCCAUCUUUUUCCAUCUUUUGGUCUUGUCAUCUUCACACCCCAAUAACAUUACUAGUAAAGAAAUACAAUUUGGAAUAUAGUGUUGAAAAAAGUAUUUGGAUAUAGUUUGCCACACAGAGGGAGACCGGUCAGUUUAGACAAUAGGAAAACAAUGGAUCCUGGUUCAGGUUCUGACCCAGAGGAAACUGUAAAUGUAUACAGUACAUAUGACGGACCGCAGCCCUACAAUUAUGAGCCCGUUAUGUGUCCCAGAGAGCAGGGAGAGAAUUCAUGGCCAGAGGAGAGAGAUUGAGCAGCGGUGCCAGGACAGCUUAUACGCAUAGCUAACAUAUGAAAUACUGUACUCGCAUCACAAUAUUUUACAGAUUGCUGUCGUGUAUCUGGCAAUAAAAAAAACCUAGUAUUGGUCAUCUACAGGACUGAGUAUUAAUAGCCUACUUAACAAUAACUGUCCGUCCACACCAGAAGCGAAUUGAGCGACCAAAUCGCCGGAAGUCAUUCACUUUCUAUGGGCAAGAGUGACCAGAGCGACCAAAGCGACCAACGCUACCAGCGGCCAAAGUUGAGCGACCAGAGCGUCAAAAAGAAGUUGAAAACUUUUUAACUUUAUGCAAAUGACUAUUAUUCGCUUCAGCGACCAAACACUGACAGCCAAUCGGAAUGUAGACGCUCUUCGCUUGCGUGGAUCCCAGGGAACAUCGGCAGGCACUUUGGUUCCUACCUACCUUUAUUCACUCACUGAACAAAAUGUCGGCUGAAGUAUUAAUCGCGGCUGUAACUGGGCACCCGGUGUUGUACGAACCCACCCUUUUUCAGUUCAGAGAUCGAAACGCCAUAGUGGUUUGGAUAUCAAGUGAUGAUAAGCGGGAGUAUUUAUAGGCUACAUCUAGAACGUUCGUAUUUAAGCGGGAAUCAUUAUAAUUUGCUCUACAUGCCACCAAUCUAACCAACCAAUCGCGUGUAGCAUGCUUUAAACAAAACCAAAAAAGUAUUUGAAAUCGUCACAUAAACAAACUAAUCAACAAGACGAGGGAUAAAUGACAGGGGAUAUAUCUCUUGUCUUUUAUCCCUCUAUUCCCCACUAUUCACGGAGCCUGAGGUGAAUAAUUUUUAAUUAAAUAGUCUAGAUAGAUAGAUAGUCAAGUCUUUAUUAAUACCAAACGACACAAAUCGUCGGGAAUCCAUUUAGGUGGUUCGUCCCACACAGGACAGUAGCCUACAAUACCACACAGAACAAGUCUGACUGGAUAAUACACACAAUACAUCACAUUAAAACUAGACACGCGUUGAUAGAUAGAUAGACAGAAAGGCCUAGAUAGAUAGAUAGAUAUGUUCCAUUAUUUGCCUUGCGGAGCGAACCAGUCCUGUGCACGUAUGCAAAUUAGCCAUGUGUCCCAAUGUCUAUUUGUUUUGAAUGCGACGAAUGAGUGCAGAUCAUGAUUUGCAGAUCCAGAUCAGUGAAACAUAUUUUAACUACUACAGCACGCAGGGUUUUUGGUUCUCGGUUGUAAUUAGCCUACAUUUUAGGAUUUUUUUUAUAUUGGGGGGAAUCACUGUCCUACUUGUUGUCGAAGCGCUUUAUCGAACAAGCAAAACCGUCUCGGCAAUAUGGCCAAGGUGUAUGGGAGAGUUCACUAUUUGAUAUGGCUGUCUGUAGGGCCUACUAAACGCAUACGGCUCCUUUAAAUGCGUCUGCAUAAUUGAAUUGUACGUCAUGAGCGACUUGAGCGACCAAAGCGAACAGAAAAAUUCGCAGCGAAACUUUGUGAGCGACCAGAGCGUCUUUGACGCUUUGGUCGCUCCUGGUGUGGACGUACAGUAACAGAAACUAAAGUUUGUUUACGUCCUGUCUCAUACUCGUUAAUAUCCGCCCACACUAGGCUGCAUCCGAAUACUCGUACUUGCAUACUAUAUAGUAUGCAUUUUGUAGUAUGCGAAAAAUCUAGCGCGUCCGAAUACUCUAGUAUGCAUUCUGUAGUACGGAAGUCGUUUCCGAAUGCAUACUACCGCCAAAGUGAACCACGGACCACACUACGCUAUCCCACAAUGCAACCGGAGUCUGGUAACAAACGAAGAAGAGAUGGCUGACCCGACACCACCAACAGCGGCUUUUUAUUUGUGUGUGUGUGUGUGUGUGUGUGUGUGUGUGUGUGUGUGUGUGUGUGUGUUCAAUAAAAAAGGAAAAAUUAACUUCAAUCGUCUUUUUCACGGAGUAACAAAUAACUGUAAAUGUAUUAUUAUUAUUCCAAAAAAAUUACUUACCAAAUGUCCACAUAUAUACAACAUAACCUGCCGGUAAGUCGCUCUACGAGAUGACCGACGACGACGCCUUCUAGCAGAGAUAUCCAUUUCAAGAGCCAUUCGCGUAGAAAGAGACUUUUUUAUUUAAUAGCAACGAUAACAAGACGGAAAACAGGUACAUUUUGCCGCCAUCUGGGGGGAGAUACGUCAUCUCCAAACAUCCGGUGGAGUUUCGGCGGCGUUCUACGCAUGUCUGUAGACCGUACUACACAGUCAAGUGUAGUAUGGUCAAGUAGUAGACACUAGACAGAAAUAGUAUGUACUAGGUAUUCGGAUGCAGCGCGUGUCUCCCGCUGCUGCUGACAGCGGUCCUGAUGAAGCGGUGGACGCUGAAGGCACCGCACCGGGUGAGAGUCGCGCCUGGUUCUUGAUAAUAAUCCUCCGGUCUAAAGUGCGCCACACACGACCGCGUUUUUCGUUGCUAACGCAGCGGUCAAGUCCAAACAGGCAGCGGCGGGCUGCGGAUUGUUGUCAUUGCGUAUUCCAAGCACACCGAACGUCAUUGGAUGAAUCAAAAGACGACGCAAUUACGUCAUCACGUUUUGUUGGAAGACGAAAUGUUAUUGGAUGCGUCCGCCCUUUGCCCCGUCAAAAUUAACUGAAGGAAGAAAUUGUUGGUGCUGCAAACUUUUCCUCCGUUGGCUCCGUGUGGCAAACAUUCAGAAUGGACACGACAGGGAAGAGACGGCGAACUCUAACAAAGAAAAUGCAGCCAGUUUCCCCCCCUACCCAAAAUGAGGAAUCUGGUUAUUUUGCAUUUGUUCACUUUGAAGAUGAUGCUACUGCAAAACAUUUUAAACCCUCAAGCAUAUUAGUAGGCAGCAAACGAAAGUCCAGUCCUUCGACUCCUGGACCUUAAAACGGGAAAAAAAGUUUUAGCUAAGUGGUCUGACGGCAAAUUUUACAAAGCCACUGUUGAAUAUGUAUCUCAGACAGAGACCCCAGUCAGAAAAACACCAAAGCAGACACCAAAGCAGGCUUUUAUAAACCAAUUUUUAGGGUCUCCUCCUGAAAAUGUGUCAGCAGCAUCAUCAGGGUCUUCACCUGACACUAUAAUAAUACAGAGGAGCCCUCUGCCAGAAUAUGGGGAAGAGAUCAGUCCAGGACCAUUGACGUCACCUCACUUGGCCAGCAGAGAUGGACGUUCGCCUCACGGUGCUGGUGCUCUAGCCAGGAGAAGCCCACCAUCAUCGCACAGGGCCAGUGGAGGCGGACCAUCCCUUAACUGGGCCAGUGGAGUCUCACCUCCCUCCCACGGGGCCAGUAGAGUCUCACCUCCCUCCCACGGGGCCAGUGGAGUCUCGCCACCCUCCCACGGGGCCAGUGGAGUCUCGCCUCCCUCCCACGGGGCCA